GCAUCAAGUUGCUUGGCAUGUUCAAGCUCUUUCUUGGCGAGUUUUCGAGGAAGGUUCAUGACAGUGCAGAAGGGGCAGGCAACAACGGCAACAAGGGCAUGAGUUGCUAUUGCCGCGGCAGCUAUAGUGACAGUUACAGCAGAGCCAAUGACGCAAAGCACAGAGGCAGUAGUGGCUCGGCGAACUAGGCUGACUCUAGAGCGGGACUUGCGAAGUCGGUGAUCUAGUUGCUGCCUGAGUUGCGAAAAGCUGUGGCGGAUAUCCUGGAAGUUAUGAGAAUCCGGGCAAGGGAAAGGAUUGUCACAACGAUCAAAUUGGAGAAAGAUCUCAUAGGCGUAAUUGCAUUGGGAUUGAGUAAGGUAGUCUGAGUCUAGAGGAAGGACUUCAAGGAGCUUAUGGAGAGGAUCAUACAGAGCACGGGCACG
rnacentral:misc_RNA from 1 species